GUUACCUUCGGGUAAUGAGGAUGGCGGACGGGUGAGUAACGCGUAAGGAACUUGCCUCUUGGACUGGGACAACUGUUGGAAACGACAGCUAAUACCGGAUAUUAUGAGAUUCUCGCAUGAGAAAUUUAUGAAAGCUAUAUGCGCCAAGAGAGAGCCUUGCGUUCCAUUAGCUAGUUGGUGGGGUAACGGCCCACCAAGGCGACGAUGGAUAGCCGGCCUGAGAGGGUGAACGGCCACAAGGGGACUGAGACACGGCCCUUACUCCUACGGGAGGCAGCAGUGGGGAAUAUUGGACAAUGGGCCACAAGCCUGAUCCAGCAAUUCUGUGUGCACGAUGAAGGUCUUCGGAUUGUAAAGUGCUUUCAGUUGGGAAGAAGAAAGUGACGGUACCAACAGAAGAAGCGACGGCUAAAUACGUGCCAGCAGCCGCGGUAAUACGUAUGUCGCAAGCGUUAUCCGGAUUUAUUGGGCGUAAAGCGCGUCUAGGCGGAAAAAUAAGUCUGAUGUUAAAAUGCGGGGCUCAACUCCGUAUUGCGUUGGAAACUGUUUUUCUAGAGUACUGGAGAGGUGGGCGGAACUACAAGUGUAGAGGUGAAAUUCGUAGAUAUUUGUAGGAAUGCCGAUGGAGAAGUCAGCUCACUGGACAGAUACUGACGCUGAAGCGCGAAAGCGUGGGGAGCAAACAGGAUUAGAUACCCUGGUAGUCCACGCCGUAAACGAUGAUCACU
rnacentral:rRNA from 1 species